rnacentral:tRNA from 1 species
GCGAGAGUGGCGGAAUCGGCAGACGCGCACGUUUGAGGGGCGUGUGUUUACGACGUACGGGUUCAAGUCCCGUCUCUCGCACCA